rnacentral:ncRNA from 1 species
AAGUCAGAUGGAAUGCUGCGCGAUUCAGAGUAAAAGCCUCGUAUGACCAACCCGCAAGCUUACGAUGGACCGGGGAGAGUCGGAUACUUUGAGAGUAGUGUCUUAAGGGGGUGGUAUGUCCCAUCCAAGGCUAAAUAACGUGAGGAGACCGAUAGAUUACAAGUAGUGUGAACGAAAGAUGAAAAGAACUCUAAAACAGAGGGUGAAAAGUUCCUGAACUUGCUUAGGGUUAAGGCUAUUUAUAGUACCCGUCUUGAAACACGGAUUAGGGAGUUUAUCUGUAGUGCGAGUCUUUGCACGUUAACUGUAAAGGCGUAGAGAAAGCAACUGGCGUUUGCAUGGCUACUGAGCAUUACUGAUAGGACCCGAAAGGUGGUGAACUUUGCCUGCACAGGUUGAAGUCAGGGGAAACUCUGAUGGAGGACCGUACGGGUUAUUGAUGUGCAAAUCAUUUUUCUGAUGUAGGUAAAGGUGCGAAAGACUCAUCGAACCACCUAAUAGCUGGUUUCCUCCGAAGUUUCCCUCAGGAUAGCUGUAAUGCAUUUAGUUAAGGGGAGUAGAGAUAUGGGUAGAGGUGCAGGGAGCCUUCGGGUUCUCAACUUAUUUCCAAACUUCGAACCUCCUUGUUAGGCAUUUACCUAACUGGAAAUGCUUAAAUGAAUUAGCGUUACAAGUGGGCUCUGACCGGUAAGCGGUCAUGGCGAAAUGGGAUGAACCAUACGUCUGAAUAAGGUGCCGAAAUGUACUAUCACUGAUACCAUAAAGGGAGUCCAUGUAUUUAGACAGCAGGUCGGUGCCCCUAAAAGCAGGUAUCCGCUAAAGAGUGUGUUAAAACUCACCUGCCGAAUACUAGGGCCCCGAAAAUGAAUGGCGCAUAUAGUACUACCGAUCUCAGACAUCAGUUCUAUUGAACUGAGAGUAGGGGGAUGUGGACAU